GAACGCCGGAUGAGUUGGAAACUCUCAUGUCCGGUGUGAAGCAGGGGAAAAGAUGGAGAUAGUAUCAAAAUCUUACCUAUUGCUAU
rnacentral:autocatalytically_spliced_intron from 1 species